GGCGAGCGUUGUUCGGAUUUACUGGGCGUAAAGGGCGCGCAGGCGGUCUUGCCAGUCAGGCGUGAAAGCCCCGGGCUUAACCUGGGAAUUGCGCUUGAUACUCUGAGACUGGAGUACGGGAGAGGAGAGUGGAAUUCCCAGUGUAGAGGUGAAAUUCGUAGAUAUUGGGAAGAACACCAGUGGCGAAGGCGGCUCUCUGGACCGUAACUGACGCUGAGGUGCGAAAGCGUGGGGAGCAAACAGG
rnacentral:rRNA from 1 species